rnacentral:rRNA from 1 species
ACGAACGCUGGCGGCGUGCUUAACACAUGCAAGUCGAACGGAAAGGCCUGCUUUCCCUUGUGGAUUGCGGGUACUCGAGUGGCGAACGGGUGAGUAACACGUGAGUGAUCUGCCCCCAACUUGGGUAUAAGCCUGGGAAACUGGGUCUAAUUCCCGAUAGGACUGCAGGGUGGUGCCUGUGGUGGAAAACGAUUUUCUAGUGGUUGGGGAUGAGCUCGCGGCCUAUCAGCUUGUUGGUGGGGUAAUGGCCUACCAAGGCGGCGACGGGUAGCCGGCCUGAGAGGGUGGACGGCCCAAUUGGGACUGAGAUACGGCCCAGACCGCUAAGGGAGGAAGCAGGGGGGGAUAAUGCACAAUGGGCGGAAGCCUGAUGCAGCGAAGCCGCGUGGGGGAUGACGGCCUUCGGGUUGUAAACUCCUUUCGGCCGCGAGGAAGCCACCUGGUUGGAAGGGUGGUGACGGUAGUGGUAGAAGAAGCACCGGCUAACUACGUG